AAGCAUAUCAAUAAGCGGAGGAAAAGAAACUAACAAGGAUUCCCCUAGUAACUGCGAGUGAAGCGGGAAAAGCUCAAAUUUAAAAUCUGGCGGUCUCCGGCCGUCCGAGUUGUAGUCUGGAGAAGCGUUUUCCGCGCUAGACCGUGUACAAGUCUCCUGGAACGGAGCGUCAUAGAGGGUGAGAAUCCCGUCUUUGACACGGACCCUAGUGCUUUGUGAUGCGCUCUCAAAGAGUCGAGUUGUUUGGGAAUGCAGCUCAAAAUGGGUGGUGAAUUCCAUCUAAAGCUAAAUAUUGGCGAGAGACCGAUAGCGAACAAGUACCGUGAGGGAAAGAUGAAAAGCACUUUGGAAAGAGAGUUAAACAGUACGUGAAAUUGUUGAAAGGGAAACGCUUGAAGUCAGUCGCGUCGGCCGGGACUCAGCCUUGCAUUUGCUUGGUGUACUUUCCGGUCGACGGGCCAGCAUCAGUUUUGACCGCGGGAUAAAGGUAGAGGGAAUGUGGCUCCCCCGGGAGUGUUAUAGCCCUCUGUCAGAUGUCGCGGUUGGGACUGAGGAACUCAGCACGCCUUUAUGGCCGGGGUUCGCCCACGUACGUGCUUAGGAUGCUGGCGUAAUGGCUUUAAACGACCCGUCUUGAAACACGGACCAAGGAGUCUAACAUGCCUGCGAGUGUUCGGGUGGAAAACCCGUGCGCGUAAUGAAAGUGAAAGUUGGGAUCCCUGUCGUGGGGUGCACCGACGCCCGGACCAGACCUUCUGUGACGGAUCUGCGGUAGAGCAUGUAUGUUGGGACCCGAAAGAUGGUGAACUAUGCCUGAAUAGGGUGAAGCCAGAGGAAA
rnacentral:rRNA from 1 species